AUUCCAUGAUGAGGGCACUUUCAUAAUAACUCUUUGUACCUUUCCCAUGCCUCAUACAAGGACUCAUCAUACAUUUUUUGAAGGCAGUGACCUCAUUCUUCAACUU
rfam:Gossypium raimondii Chr01_contig_1258, whole genome shotgun sequence.